AUUGAACGCUGGCGGAAUGCUUUACACAUGCAAGUCGAGCGGCAGCGCGGGGGCAACCCUGGCGGCGAGCGGCGAACGGGUGAGUAACAUAUCGGAACGUACCCAGUCGUGGGGGAUAACUAUCCGAAAGGAUAGCUAAUACCGCAUACGUCCUGAGGGAGAAAGCGGGGGAUCGCAAGACCUCGCGCGAUUGGGAGCGGCCGAUAUCGGAUUAGCUAGUUGGUGGGGUAAAGGCUCACCAAGGCGACGAUCCGUAGCGGGUCUGAGAGGACGACCCGCCACACUGGAACUGAGACACGGUCCAGACUCCUACGGGAGGCAGCAGUGGGGAAUUUUGGACAAUGGGGGCAACCCUGAUCCAGCCAUUCCGCGUGCAGGAUGAAGGCCUUCGGGUUGUAAACUGCUUUGUACGGAACGAAAGGUUUACUCUAAUACAGAGGGCUCAUAACGGUACCGUAAGAAUAAGCACCGGCUAACUACGUGCCAGCAGCCGCGG
rnacentral:rRNA from 1 species